rnacentral:lncRNA from 1 species
AACGGUGUAAUUCCAAAUCUUGAUAGCUCCAUGCUGAUCCCAGUCACCUUCAUGAACUUUGACUCCUUGAAUGUUUUUGGAGGUGGCGGUGGGCAAUUUGUGAGUUUCACUCCUCCAAAUCUUGAAGAACUUGUCAGCUGGUGCUUUCAGUUCGACUUCAGUCUCCAGUUUUCCCUUCAAAUUAGCCAUGUUGGCACAAAUAUUGAGACUCCAAAAUUCGCGAAGCUCGUUGGAACAAUGGCCUGUGCUGAGAAAAAAGAGGUGUGGCUUGCUUCUUAAAUUGACUUUGGCGUUUCGUCUCUUCUUCAGGUCCCACAGAUCACGGUUCAUGUGGUCCUUGACAUGUUUACUAAUUAUAUCGACGUGUCAAAUUGCUAUUGGAGUGCUUUAUAAAAUGUAUUUUGGACCAAUAAAAAGAUAUGCCUGAUCAAUUAUGACCGUGGCCUGUUGAUAAUGGAUGCAAUUCAAGCCGUACAUUUUUUUUGGUCAUUAGCAAUUAAAUGUCUAAUUCAUACAUUUCUAAUAUUCUCAUAAUGAGCUCUAAUACUCUAUGAAAGUUGCCCGUUGAAUUCAUCUUCUAAUCUGAUUGAUCUGCCAAGGUCAACUUAAGAUUAUACCCAAUGCAUAAUAUAAAGAAAGAGGUCAAUUACCUGGCCUAUAGGUGGACUCAAGGUAUAUUCGGUGAGUUAGAAGAUGCCUUCAUCAUUUCUUUAAAAUAUUAUUAUGAUGUGCACUUUAAAAUAUUAUUAUGAUGUGCAUGUGAGGGUGUUAAGCGAAAAACGUUCCAUAUUUGGCAUAUAAAUCAUUAUUUUAAUUUUUUUAAGUCGAGUUGAGCCUAACUAGAUAAUGUAUAUAUUGGUAGGUGUAGAUUUAAGGUCUCUCUUGAGGAUCUCCAUAGGUGAAGAUAUCGGAGUUAUAUUGUGCAUCUCAACAGGUGUUUUCUCAAAAUGAGAAUUUACAAUGUGACUCUUUGAUCGUGGUGGUAGAUGGUAUCCCUCGCUUCUUCCCAAGUUUAAUUGGGCAAAGGCGAGUGAGGUAGAGUCAGAAGGGCAAACAUUAUUCAUGCAACCAUUAGCCAAAACUAAUGAGGCAAGGUAGAGAUUCAAGUUGAGAAUGUUUUUUUUUUGGUAAAGGUAAGAUAAAUAAUAAGAAAAGCCAAAUGUACAAAAGAUCUCGUCACCAGAACUUGCACUCCAAAUGUAGUAACAAAAGAAGUGGAAGGGUGACGAGAUGCAAAAGCCGCAGAGGCGGCACAACAACUACAACAACAAGGCCAAACUAAGCACGACUAGCUCGACCAGCUAUCAAGCAAAGACAAAAAACAAAGAGGAGGCCAUCGUCUGAUCUAGGACCUAAGGGUCCCCAUUGAAAAUAAUCGGGUCUAGACUCCAACUUCUCUGCAGCCUUCUGUUUCUGAAAUUGUCUUCAACGUUCCUGAAGGUGAUAGCCUUGUCGCGAACCACUUUAAAGAGGUGGUUUUUAAUGGCCGGAAUAGAGAGAGGCUGGUCUCUAAAGAUGAUGGCAUUCCUAUUUUUCCAAAUGAUAUGACACAGCGCGCCAAAUGAAAAACGGGCUAUGCACUUAUAGAAAUCUUUCCCCAUCAAAUAGGUAGUUGCCCAUAUGAAAUUCUCCCCCCAACCUCUGUUGCGCCAGGGUAAAUUGCAUCUGGACGCCCAAAAGAAGGCAACACUAGCCGUGACACAGCAGUCAAAAAACAAGUGGUCAAGAGAGUCAGGCACAUUCUUGCAAAAUGCACAGGUAGCAUUUCCAAUAAUACCAUAGGCCAAAAGUAGAUCCUGGGUUGGAAGCCUACGUCUGGCCAUGAGCCAAAGAUUGAGCUGAUAUCGAGGCACUAUGGCGUUGUCCCAUACAAAGGAGUACCAGUGGACCCGCGUCUUCUUCUUCCUGAUGAAGUUCCACGCCGAUGCCAUAGUGAAUUGGCCCGAAGAGCUUCCUCGCCAACAGCAACGAUCCGGGUCAUUCGUCAGGGUCGGAAGAGGUUGCCCCCACGAUUGAAGCACCAAUCUAAGAGCUUGGCCAGCAUCUGAGAAGAGGUCAGCAACACAAGCUUGUCUAGAGAGCCCUGAGCUAUAGAUAAGAGAGUCUGAAAAGAACAGGUUCAAGGGCCCUCUAGGAUGCCAGUUGUCAAACCACAGAGAGGUUGUUUGGCCAUCGCCAAUUUUCCAGACGAAGGCCAUCCUAAAAUUCCUUCUUAGGGUCAACAAGCUCUUCCAGGCCCAGGAGCUAGAAGUUGGCUUCCUAGCAACCCAAAAAUUCUUGUUUUUUAAGAACGUGGAAUGGACCCAUCUACACCAUAGCGCUUCCUUGUCGGAGAACAAGAUCCAAAUAUGCUUUAGCAUGUAGGCUUUAUUGCAAUCUUGGAGCCUCCUAACACCUAGCCCUCCUUCAUCCUUUGGAAGGCAAACGUCAUCCCAGGCUACCUUCGCACCACCCCUGCCUAGGUCCGGACCUUUCCAUAGGAAUUGUCUAAAUAUUUUCUCUAUCUGUUCUAUCACAGCUGAAGGUAAGACAAAGACACUAGCCCAGUAGGCUUGUAUAGCAUGAAGAACUGACUUGAUAAGCUGAAGCCGACCAGCAAUAGAGAGGAAACGGUGAGUCCAAGACUGAACCCUUGCAGUGAUGCGAUUGACCAGGGUACAACAAUCUGCUUUAUUGAUUCUCGAAGUGAUAAUGGGAACCCCCAGGUACCGAACUGGCAGGCUUCCUUCUCGAAAGCCCAACUCCAAUAGAAUAUUAUUCCUUAGGGAAGGAUUGCCACCCGCCAAGAAAAUUUCACUCUUGCACGAGUUAGGACGAAGGCCACUCCAGGAGGAAAAUAUGUUUAGAGCUUCCUUAAGGAGAGUUACCGAAGGAAGGUGCGCCUCACAAAAAAGGAAGACAUCAUCUGCAAAGAAUAGAUGUGAAAGACCCACUGCCCUGCACCUCCAAAAGAAUUUGAAAUCAGGUCUCGAGGAUUGCUUAAGAAUGAUCCCUGAGAGCACUUCCAUGACCAUAGUGAAAAGGUAAGGCGAGAUGGGAUCCCCUUGGCGAAGACCUCGACCGCUCGCAAAAAACCCGUGGAGCUCUCCAUUCAAAGCAAUUGAGAAUUUAGGAGUGCGAACACACGUCAUAAUUAGGCUAGUGACAGAGUGAGGAAAGCCAAAGGCUAGCAUCACAUUCUCAAGGAAGCUCCAAUCCACCGUAUCAUAUGCUUUCCUGAAGUCCACCUUUAUCGCACAUUUAGGUAGAUAAGGCUGAAGGUGAAAGCUAGAGAAUAGCUCCUGGGCCAGUAAUAUAUUGUCCCUAAUUCGUCUACCUUUUAUAAAAGCAGUCUGAAAAGGGCCUAUCAUGUUCUUCAAAGCUAGGGCCACCCGAUUAGCUAGCACCUUUGUAAUACACUUGUAGAUAGUGUUACAACAGGCGAUAGGUCUAUAAUCCUCCACAGAAGUGGCGUUGAGCACUUUCGGAACCAUUACCAAGAUGGUAUUGUUAACCUCCCUCAAGAGUUUUCCGGAGUUAAAGAAGUCCAACACUGCAGUCGUUACUAAGGGACCUACCGUGUCCCAGUUUUCUUUGAAAAACUCCGCUGUGAAACCAUCUGGCCCAGGAGCCUUUUUCUUGGGCAAAGAGAAGAUAGUGUUCCGGAUCUCUAUCUCUGUAACUGGUUGAGCAAGAAGAGCAGCCUGAUCAAUCGAAAGUGGAUGUUGGAUAACCUCUCUCAAGUCCUCUAACGAAGGUCUAAUAAUCUCCUCUUGUGGCAUCAAGAGGUCCUCAAAGAACUCUACAAACCUUCGUUGCACCAGGUGUGGCUCCGUCAGUAUGUUCCCCGAAGAGUCGAGGACGGAUAGGACUCUGUUCCUCAACUGUCUUUUGUUGACAUAUUGAUGGAAGAAUUUGGUAUUUCGGUCUCCCUCCUUGAGCCAUCUAACCCUGGACUUUUGCCUGUAGAAGGACUCUUCCGAGGAGCGCAGCUCUGCAAAGAUACAUCUUUGGCUUUUCUCCACUUCAGCAAGGUCGGUAGAAAAGGGAUUUAGUUGUAAUUCUGCUUGGGUGGCCUCCAUCAUCUUCCGCGCAUCAAGAGUUCUAGCAGAUAUAUUAGAGAAGGAAUCUCUGUUGAGUUGCUUAAGCCGACAUUUGAGAGCCUUGAGUUUAGAGACAAGCUUGUACAUAGGGAAACCAUUCCCCGGCUCAUUCCACACUUGUGAGACAAUUUCUUUGAACUCCGGGUGCUUCAUCCAGAAGUCGAAGAACUUGAAGGGCUUCCUUGUAUGAGUCGGAUUAAGAAUCUUCACCACCAUAGGCGAGUGGUCUGAGAUUCCAGGAGGAAGGAAGGAGGCUUCAGAGUAAGAUAGAUCCAAGCUCCACUUUGCAUUCACUAGAACCCUGUCAAUCUUCCUUGCUUUCCUAGUAUGCCCUGAAGACGUAGUCCAAGUGUAUCUAAACCCAACGAACCUCAAGUCUUCUAGCUCAGCUUGCUCCAAGCACUGUCCAAACUCAUUGAAACAAGGGAGCCAAUCUUCGGAGCCACCGACCCGGUCCGAUGGAUCCUUAAUAGCAUUGAAGUCCCCCAAGACAAGCCAAGGAGUGUCUCGGAGAUGGGUGCUUUUCAUGAUGAUGUCUUCCCACAGCGGUCUCCUCAGCGAAAAGGAGUGAUCUCCAUAAACAAAAGAAACACAGCAAGCCACCCCAGAGUCUAGGGUCUCAAGGUUCCCAUGAAUUGCCUGCUUGGAAAGAGAGAAGGUUUCAAACUUGACUCUCAUGGGGUCCCAUCCGACCCAAAUUCUACCCCUGGGGAAGAAGUCAUAGUUUGCAGUCCAACACCAACCUCUCAAUAGAGCUUCGGAAAUGGAGUUAAAGCGAUCCUGUGGCACCUUAGUUUCCACCAAACCAACACAGCACAAGUGGUUCGAAGUAAUAAAAUUACGAAUCUCCGCUUGUCUAGUCGAAUCAACCAUACCUCUAAUAUUCCAGCAACCUAUAUACAUAUGUACAAAAGAGGAAACGAGGAAGGGUUACCUCCUUUUCGGAGGCUUGCGACGGCUCUGAGAGGGAGCCGCUCGAGCCGCUGGAGGAGGUGGGUCAGGAGGAAGCACGAGCGGCUUGUCCUGGGUGUUCUCCUCCAUGUUUUUCGUUGGAGAAGCCUUCGGCGAUAGAUCUGGAGGGGCCUUCGGUGAUUGACAAGGCGAGAGAAGAUCUUCAUCUGAGCUAAGGUGGUUGACAGACUCAUUCAAUUCCGCUCCACUCCCUAAGCCUGCAUCUGGAUGGCUAAUGGGAUCUUCCUCCAUUGUCGAGGUGUGGUCAUCCACACUAAUUAGUGCUUGAAACCCACUCUGAGCCCUCCGGGUGGAGGUUGAUGGCAAGCUUUUAAGAGCUGCUUCUGACUGCUUGAAAGGUGGUUCCUCUUCUCCAGAGCUUGAUGGAUGGUCUAAAUAUGUCUCCUUGGGAGGGGGAGAUUUGUUCUUCUUUCCCUUGACUUGUUUCCAUCCAAAAUCAGCCUCAUUCAGGUCUACCACCAGCAUUGGUGAAGUCUCAGAGGGGCGGGCCUCCACUGGUGGGGGGGGAGGAAUGGUCUGAACUUGUUUCUGGCCUUGCACCGCCUUCCGCCCAUUCAAAGAGGUUGCACAAUUGUGCCCAAAGGAGCCACACUUCAAGCAUUCCGCUGGCUUCCACUCGUACUCAAUGGCAAUCGACCGAACAACUCCGUUUAGUCUUACCCUGGUCAAGUAGAACCUUGGCUUGUUUACUUGAAUCUCCACACACACUCUUGCAAAAGAGAUCCUUUGAGAUUGCUCCGUGCGUUGAUCAACAAAUAACGGCUUGCCAAUGGUGCUCGCGAUGGCGCUAUUGCCGGGGCUGUCCAUAGGUCAAGAGGUAGGUUUUUCAAGCGAAUCCACACUGGCACCGAGGUUUGCUUCUCCCUCUUCAACUCUAGGAGCGGCUUCCAUUGUUGCAAAACAAGUGCAACCCUUGCAACCGUUAUAUGACCUUCUUCCAAAAUCUUCCUUCUGAACUCAGGGUCAGGGAUGCGGAAGAAAAAGAAACCCUGGUCAUCGGCAAAAACCUCAACAAGCUUCGGUCCCCAACAUAGCUUGAGCGAGUUCUCCGUGAGCUGGAACGGCAAACUCUUCCCUAUAUAAUAUCCAACCAGACACUCAUGCCAUUUGGGAUCCACCGCAUCUAACACUUCUUCAGGAAGAUCCACCACCGGGACAUCAUCCUCAAACGAGGGAGGAACAAAGGUAAGGUCAUACCCUUUCGCUGCAAGUUUCGCAACAUUCGCCCACGUCCGGACAGCCGGGGCGUCUGGUUUCUUCGCUUGUUUUUGCGAGGCUUGAGGCCCUUUGGAAGCCGACCUUGCUCUACUUCGUCCUCUCGAGCGCCUAUCCCUGCCUGUAGCUUUGGGACCACGGUUUGAGGUCUCUGCUAGUGCAGGAGCCUUGCCCGUGUGCAUGGAGGCCCGGGCCUCCUUGUCUCGAUUGAGGAGGCUAGACGUCCUCUCCGAUUCAUCCCUCAAUUGUGCCGUAUUACUCGGCUCACCACCCACAGCCAUUGGAGCAGCCAUAACACUACCUAACCAGCUAAACCCAGUCCUCUACACAUCAGCCAUCUAGAGAGUAAGAGACUAACCGUUCGGACGCCUCGCACCUCUCGGGUUGGCUGGACGCAGCAAGGACGGGGCAGGGAGGAGGACCAACAGACCGCUCAGGAGCAAGGCGGCUUACUUGAUGCCCUCUUCCCGCUUCAAUCAGGUCCGGGACGCACCAGCUCUGCUCCUCAAGGGCCGAGCAACGCAGCAACUCGGUGCAGGGCGCGGCACAGCAGGGGCGGAGCUGAGCCGCAGCACAGCGUCGAGCACCAGCAGCAGUUCGGUGCAGGGCACGGCACAGCAGAGGAGCACCAGCAACCGUUCAAUGAGCCGAGGGAAGCUUACCUAACGUUGUUGGGACGCCUGCGAAGCACAGACCCGAGCCGCACCAGUACCGCACCUCCAAGGGCCGAGCGGCGCAGCAGAAGGCGAUUUCCGAAGCUCAGAUCUCGCCGCAGGGAUGGAGAGAGUCUAAUCCGUUCGGUGAGGAGCGAGGGCCUUCCCAGAGGAGCUGAACCCCCAAUUUUCACGCCAAUCGGAGGUCUGGAUCGGCCGGAUCGAGCAGCUGACGCCGGCGAGCUACAGUUCAAAACCCCAGAGGAAGAGAGGCGAUGAACAGUACCCGUGCGAGCAUUUUGGCUUUUUGAUUUUCAUUUUGUUUGUUGUUGCAGGAUGGGAAAAUAUUGAAGCGGAGGUUAAACUUACCGGUAUUCUCAGUCUUGGGGCAUUGCAGCCUGGAGAAACUCGAAAAUACGGCACCACCAUUGCACCUGGGCUCUAUGCCCCAGUUCAUCAACAUUUCUUUGUGGCUUGGGUGGACAUGGCUGUUGAUUGUAAGCCUGGUGAAACCUUCAAUCAGGUAGUUUAUAAGCUUGAAACUUUUUGCGAUCCUUUACUUUUCCCUGGCAAUAAUUGGCUUUAUUUUUCCUGAUUGUUUGCCGCCUUCUUUUGGAAUUUCUGAACCAUAUCACCAUUCUGCUUUGAAUGUUAAAGAAAAAUCUGUUCUUUUAGUCAUAAAUGCAUUUGUUCAGAUACUGCAUGCUUGUCGUAUGAUAAUCCUGCAGUGUUAUCUCUAAUCUGCAAACCAUGCAUGUUUGUGCAGGCAUAAGGCAUAUCGAGAGUCAACUGGGACGGUUUCAUGCAGCCAUGGUGAACUUGCAGACCCAGUGGCUGCAGCGGAGGAAAUAGCUUUCUGUAGAGCAUGUGCUCGGUUUGGCUUAGGCCUGUAUCUUUAUCAUGAAGAGUAGACGCUGUAUGGAAUCAACCUAUAGACCAAGGGACAGAAAUGGUGUGGAUUGGGUACAAGAUGCUCCUAGAUGGAUUUUGUGGGAUUAUAGUCCACAGUUCUCUUUUAAACUAUUUGAUGAAGGCGAUUUUGACCCGGUACUAAGCAUGAGAGACACAUAAUAAGCAAGGAAAAUAAGGGGCAAAUAAGGGGCCUUAGGACCUCUUGCUCUAUUACUUUAUGAGUUUCGUGGAAGCCCCUCAUGGCCUAAGUCCGUUUACUCCUUGAUGGGAUAUUGACUCUGAUUGCGCUAAUUUUUUGGCCCCCGUUGGUCUCUUUAUGUUGGGUAUUUCGUCUCAUAGCGAUCUUUUCCCAGUUAGACAUCUCUAAAAAUUAUGCUCCUUUAAACAUAGCUAUUAAGCAUAGCUAUGUUUUUGGUUUGUUUGUUAGCUGUACUAUUGUGGGAGUACUUUUUCUAAACUUUCAAACUUUGUCAAUAUAAUCCAAAAAAAAUUGCAUGAGAUUCCAAUGAGUUCUUCCAGCCAAUCAAUAGAAUUAAAAAGUUUAAAAUUGAAGUGCAAUGAGUUUAGUUUUAGUUUAGGACUGAUUGAGCAGUUUUCUCAAGAUACGUGCUUCUCUCUCGUUCCGUUUCUUCGUUUCUUCCCACAUAUACUGCUCAAAAUUGCCUAAGGGCAUUGGGUGGCCAUAAGUCUUGUAUUUGCCAGCUCGUUCUUAUGGCAGUGCUCCUUCAGAAAAAGUCCAAAAGAGUUUUCGCCCAGCAACCAUACUUCUCUAUAUAUUAUCUCCUUGAGCCUUACAGGUCUGCCCCUAUCAUCGUGCUUUCUUUUUGGGAUGGUUACCAUCGUUUGUACAAGAAGUCAAACUGACCCUUAAAUAUUUCUAAGAAUCAAUGCCUUGGUAAGCUAAUGAAGAUGCGAGUAUUUCUGGCCAUUAGCCAUAAAUGCUGACCGGCGACUGCUAAUAGCUAACCACUUGAACGGCUGUCUUUUCAUUAGCAUAAGUAUUGAUAAGUAAUUGCAUUGAGAUGUUCUAUCUAAACCUUGACAAAAGGAAGAACUUCUCCUUAUGUAUUGCGACUCAGAUGGAUGCUAACUAUUGAUGACUGCAGGCGGUUGCAUUCAAACCUGUAAUUGAGGGAAACACUUGUAAUAUAGCUGAUCAGAGUGGUUCGGAAAAACGCCGGCUUAUCUUGCACCAGUAGUCCAACAUCUCAGGCAAGAAGAGCUGAAGGACUUAGCAAAUCAUUCUCACGAAGCCCUUGAAUUGUCAUUUUGGUGCCAGCUGUCGAGUUAGCUUCACAGGUUUGGCAGUUGGUAUCCAUUGCGGACACAUAUUUCCCUAGAUUCACAAGAUAGCUCGUCUGUCCUUCAUCAAACCAUCGGCCAGCACACUGCGAAACAAAUGUUUUCAGUAUUUGAUCAGAUCCCUUCCAAAUACGAGAAUCGCAGCACUAAUAUGCAAUUCAUAUCAACCAUGGGAGCACAGUGAUCAAACAGACGUGCAUUGCUCUCCAAUAGUAGGGGAGGAAGGACACCGCGUAGUUCUUAGAAUUCAUGCAAUAGUGGUAUAACUAGAGAAAAAAGGAAAGUGGAGCUUCCCACCAAGUUGACUUUCUAUGUUUGAUUCCAGUAAAUCAAGAAAUAGAGAAGAUAAUACAUAGGAUAUGGAAAAACCUCAAAUUGAAGGGCCUCCGAGAUUCUACGCCACAAGGCAGGCAUAGGACCACUCAGUACCCAUUGAGCAGUGCUUUAGGAUUGUUGCUUCAAGCCCUGAACGGUGUAGCCGGAGCCCCACUCGAAGUUGUCCAACAAUGACCAUUCCAAAUAAUCCUUCACGUUCCUAGUACAAACUUAUGAAAUUUGAGACUUUGUGCCCAAUUAUGAGAAGAAUCUUGCUUGAAAAUUUCUUACUUGAUUGCCUUCAGGAGAUGGGGAGUAAUAAUAAUCUAUUGGAUCCAUUCCUGACGAAUUCAACAACUCUACACUAUCGUUAAUUCUGUCAAAGAGCAACACAGGAAGCUCACGCUGGCUCUCAUGAAGAAGGCCAAGGAGAUUUGCGCUGCUCGAGGGGUAAUUCCUUCAAUUCCGUUUGAUUCUUUUUCAUGUUGGAACAAACGUGACGAUGGGGAUAGCACAUGCUUGGAGUCAUUGGAAUGAGCUUGCAUGUGGAUAAUUUGAAUUUGCACUUUGCUGUGAAAUUGAAGAACCCUUCCGCGGUAGGCCUUAAAGCAAUCAUCAUGUUGUUCAGGAAUAACAUCCUAAGAAACCUAAUUCAAAUUUAAAAUAGACUAAAUCAUGUAAUAGUCAUCCCCCGGCAGAUUAUUAUUAUUAUUAUGCCUAUAGUAAUUUUAACUACAAUGUUUGUGUUAAUAACUGUUUGGAUUAUGUUUAAUUUGAAUUAGGUAAAUAAGAAUAUCAUUUUGUGUGGACAGUGUUGUUACUACUAAGGCCAAGUCCCUUGUUUCGGGUAAGAUCCACCAUUUAAAAAAUUAUAUUCAAUUGCAAAAAGUUUUUUCUUUUUUUAAUACUAGACUAGAAUUGUAUUUUCGAAUUGAUAAAAGAGUAAACCUUUUUUCAUAAGAAAAUCAAUUCCAGUCAAAAAAGACGCCGUCACCCGGGGAGGGGGCACUGCGCACGGGGAGUUCCUUGGGGGCCUCACAAAAUUGUUGUGUUUUCUGUUGCUUCCCGCCUAAAAUUCAUCCUCUUCUUGGUCGCACCUCUCCUCCGAGCCUCCAAUCCCCUCGCCUCUCCUCUGCACCUCUCCUCCCAUUGAUCCCCAUUGAUCGCCAGCCAAACCUCUCCUCCGAUUGCCUGCCCGAGUCCACGCACUUGCCGCAUCCGAGUAAGCAUCCGAGUUCCUCCACAAUCAGUCAGCUUGUAAAUCUAUGGGCAAAUCUAUCGGCGAGCAUUUCUUGUUCUUCUCUCAUGUGAUUGGACGCUUGUGAUUGGUGAGCUUGUUCGGCAUCCUCGUUUCCCUCCGGAGAGAACGCUCGUGUGAUUUGGUAGCUUGCGAUUUUGUAGCCUGUGAUUUUCUAACCAUUAAUGGAGCUCCAGGUAAAUACAGAUCGUCCAAUGAGGUAAAUACAGAGGUAAAUACAGAUCAUCAGGAUUUAGGACUUAGGAGAAGAUCGUUGAGAUAUAGGAUGGAUUUAGGAACUGCUUGAAUUAGUGUGUUUAAGUGGUUUUUGCCUUCCUGUUUUGCGCCCUUUAAACUCUCUAAAGACUUUGAAUCUAAUAAAACGAAUAGAGAUCAAGCACGUCCGAACUUGAGAGUCAUUGUUUGUGCUUAGAUUGAUUUUUAUUAGGACAUGAACAUCCACAGUUCUACACAGCAAGAGUUUGAUUUCUGCCUUGAUUUCCCUAUUUAAUAAGUAGAUAGUUCAAAAAAUUUUCUCAUUGCCGUGGCUCGAAGAAUUGUCAGUAACAAUCAACCUUUUGAUCUCAAAUCUUUCUUUACUAAGUUAUGCAUAUCAAAUUACAACUGUAUAAUAUCCGUCAAUAUCCGUCUCAAGUCAUCUCUGUUCUUUUCUUAUAUUUCUGGGCCUUUUUUUUGGCAUCCGUUGUCGAUUCUAGCAAGUACAGCUACAGAGAAUUAGAAAUAGAAAGAGCUUCGGUGAUUUGAGUUUGGUGGUAUUGGAUGUUUGAGAGCCUGUUUUGCAUACUGAAUAUAUAUGCUCAAAUUGCUGGAGGGUCUUGAUGAAUUGAAGGAUGUAUUUUCAAAUGCAAAAGCUAAUGAACUUGUAAUGAGCUGUGCUUAUUUGUAAUUCUUUCCUGGAUGUGGCUCUUUAAGACCAGUGGAAUUGAUUUAGCAUCUGUGAAUUAGGCUUCUGUUAAUUGAAGGAGUAUGCAUUAGCAUUUUUAACCUCAACUGACAAUAUCUCUCAUUUUGAGCUGUUGUGCUUGGAUACUGGGUACAGAUGCUUGGGACUAUGAAAGGUGUAUCCAAGCUAUGUAGCUUAUGGAAACCGAGUGCCACUUUGAAGGGUCUAGGUGAUUUUAAUUCUUAAAUUUAAUGGUUAAGGUUUUUUUUUGUUAGAAUUAAAUAAUAUUUGUCUUCCAACAGGAAGUUUAUGCACCAGGACCCUAUACAACUCAUCCCCACCCCCACCCUCACCCUCACCCUUACCCUUUGGAAUACAACUCUAUACACAAAACGCACUUUGGUACUUAAGUGCCCAUCCUCAGAUGGCGGCAUCUCAGAUGGUGGUAUUUACCACAUAUACAUGGUGAGUGUCAUGCAUGAUAAGAAGGUUAGUGUCUCAAAUUUGUGUCUAAAUUUGUUAUAUAAAUAAUAUCUGGUCCCAUAAUGCCUAAAAACCGUUUGGUUGCAUUUGGUUGCAGGAAUCACAACUAAGAGUUCAAUCAAAGAUUUAAGCGGCGCAAACCAGACGUUAUAUUUUUAGAAUUAUGCAAAUCCCGAAGGUAUCUGCUUGAAGAGGUCCAGACUAGUGAAUUUUAUACUGGAUAUAUUUUUAGAAUUAUGCAAAUCCCGAAGGUAUCUGCUUGAAGAGGUCCAGACUAGUGAAUUUUAUACUGGAUGGAAAGAGGUCAAGAAGAAUAAGAUCAGAGUAGUUUUAUGGGAUUUAAGGUAUUUGCCUUGUCUUCUAGGGUCCCUGCUGCCGCCCCGCGUGAGCAUUCCUCCUGUAAGUGACGAACCAAGAGGGAUGCACACGCAGCGGAUGGCAACAGAACCAUAUAAGGCAGGCAUAGCUGAGAAAGAUGGGUGCAACAUGUUGAGAAGAUUCAAUACUUUUUACAGAGACAGCACUAAAGACUAUCAACUGUAACAAGAAAGAAUGUCUUAUGGGAGGAUGGUGCAGAUAGUGAGAGCGGUAUGGUGAUUUCAAGUCGUAGGGAGAGGGUUAAUGUGCAGGAGAUCACCANNNNNNNNNNNNNNNNNNNNNNNNNNNNNNNNNNNNNNNNNNNNNNNNNNNNNNNNNNNNNNNNNNNNNNNNNNNNNNNNNNNNNNNNNNNNNNNNNNNNACAGAUUUUAACAUCAAAACCUCUGGAAUCUUCACUCCAUUAUCUUUAAUCCAUUAAUCAAGCUCAUAUAAAUUCACAUACAAAAUCAUCCUCGGGGAAGUGGAGGUAUUUCAAUUCACAGUCAACUUUCUUACUAUGGCUACAGUCCUACUCACAUGCCAUAUCCCAACCCUAAUGUGAGGGGACGUCUUUACUCCUUUACUCAAGCUGUCACGUGAAUUCACAAUACUUCUAUGACAUCGUCCUCAACAAAAUGGAGAUACUCCAAUCUAUAAUCAACAUUCAUGCUAAGGUCGUACUCACAUGUCAUGUUUCAAUUCUAAUGCCAGGAGAAGUCUUCACUCCAUCACCCCCAAAUUCAUGAGAAAUGUGGUUAGGUGCGAAAAAUUCAAAAGAAGUGCAUUGUAGUUUAGAUUGGUACACAAGUUGAGCAGGAAGUUUCAAUUUCAUACUGUACUCUUCGUAUGUGAAAAAAGUCCGCCUGAUCUCAACUUUGGUAAUUUAUACCAAAUCAAUAUAGACGCGUGUUCAAAUUUUUUUAAUUUUCAAUGCUUGAGAACAUUUUGAACAACUCUAGCAAUCGCUUAGAAGCUGCAUCUCAUCAUCCACAGCGAAAUUGUGACGACAGCCACGAUACUAAGGUGGGACCAACGGCUCAAAUGAAUUUAGACCAAUUAUCGUAGAAACUUAUGAUUCAUACUACAUAGAUUCUUAAUUCUAGGAUGCUUCAUUUUUGGGCAGUUAGGCUAAAGCUCAAUAUGUGAAAAGUCACACGAGGAAUCGCCUAAAUUCCAAGAAAGUCACCUAAAAUGUGUCGGAAAAUCACCUGCAUCGGAUCCACUAUGAUACCAGAAUGUAAUCCUUAUUCAAGUUAAUCUAAUUUGUAUCCUAAUAUCGUCUACUGCAACUAAAUUUCAGCAUCUCUAUAUAUCGAAGUGUAUAGGUAAACGCACUCAAAGUCCAACCACAUAUUAAGCUCUUAAUGUGAUUGGAAAUUGCGAAUAUUAAUCGAUGGAGGGAUCAAAUUAAAGCAUGUAUCAACUUCCCCAUAACCAUAUCAUAUUGCAAAAACCACGAGUGUCUUAUUACAAGCACAAUUAAACGUGAACACAAAACAAGAUUCUGAUAUUGCCAAAACCCAAGUCAACUUCGCAUCAACUGAUCAUUUAGCUUGAUUUAUUGGGUCUAGAUACAUGAAAGUACUAGAAAUCUCAAGCAUAAUAUAGCACAACUUCACACAUGAUCACGGUCAUGCCAUGAUCUUUUACUUCAUGCACUUAAAACGUGAGCUUCGAUGUCCUUGACCAUGUCGAUGAAGAAGGGCAUGUACUUGUCAGGGUUAGGGUCGCUCUCCUUGUACUUCUCAUACUCGAUGCUCAGCUUGGCUAGACUGCCUUGCUCCUUUGGAAUGACUUUGCAUGCCGGCUUGAAGACCUUCCAUGUGUCAAAGACGUGGCACUCGAUGCCGUGCAGGGUGAACGACAUGUUGUCAUCAUCAAACUCGACCUUCUCUUUGAGCACUUCGGAUUUUCCUUCUACACAAUUGCACCGACAAAAAUAGAAGGUUUAAGUUAGGCGGGGUCAUCAAUUUAAUUUCAAUGACAACAUGGAAUAAAAUUGAUAAUUAGAGAGAUCAGAUUGAACCAAUUACCGACGGUGUAAUUCCAAAUCUUGAUAGCUCCAUGCUGAUCCCAGUCACCUUCAUGAACUUUGACUCCUUGAAUGUUUUUGGAGGUGGCGGUGGGCAAUUUGUGGGUUUCACUCCUCCAAAUCUUGAAGAACUUGUCAGCUGGUGCUUUCAGUUCGACUUCAGUCUCCAGUUUUCCCUUCAAAUUAGCCAUGUUGGCACAAAUAUUGAGACUCCAAAAUUCGCGAAGCUCGUUGGAACAAUGGGUUGUGCUGAGAAAAAAGAGGUGUCGCUUGCUUCUUAAAUUGACUUUGGCGUUUCGUCUCUUCUUCAGGUCCCACACAUCAUGUUUCAUGUGGUCCUUGACAUGUUUACUAAUUAUAUCGACGUGUCAAAUUGCUAUUGGAGUGCUUUAUAAAAUGUAUUUUGGACCAAUAAAAAGAUAUGCCUGAUCAAUUAUGACCGUGGCCUGUUAAUAAUGGAUGCAAUUCAAGCCAUACAUUUUUUUUCGGUCAUUAGCAAUUAAAUGUCUAAUUCAUACAUUUCUAAUAUUCUCAUAAUGAGCUCUAAUACUCUAUGAAAGUUGCCCGUUGAAUUCAUCUUCUAAUCUGAUUGAUCUGCCAAGGUCAACUUAAGAUUAUACCGAAUGCAUAAUAUAAAGAAAGAGGUCAAUUACCUGGCCUAUAGGCGGACUCAAGGUAUAUUCGGUGAGUUAGAAGAUGCCUUCAUCAUUUCUUUAAAAUAUUAUUAUGAUGUGCAUGUGAGGGUGUUAAGCGAAAAACGUUCCAUAUUUGGCAUAUAAUUCAGUAUUUUAUUUUAUUUUAAGUUGAGCUGAGCCUAACUAGAUAAUGUAUAUAUUGGUAGGUGUAGAUUUAAGGUCUCUCUUGAGGAUCUCCAUAGGUGAAGAUAUCGGAGUUAUAUUGUGCAUCUCAACAGGUGUUUUCUCAAAAUGAGAAUUUACAAUGUGACUCAUUGAUCAUGGUGGUAGAUGGUAUCCCUCGCUUCUUCCCAAGUUUAAUUGGGCAAAGGCGAUUGAGGUAGAGUCAGAAGGGCAAACAUUAGUCAUGCAACCAUUAGCCAAAACUAGUGAGGCAAGGUAGAGAUUCAAGUUGAGAAUGUUGGUAUGGAAGGAUAUUUAAAUUAAAGAGGAGCUAGCCUAAUGCAAAAGAGUCACGUGUGGAGAGAGAUUUGUUUAAGUGGAUGUGUGAAGGUUUUAGGUGUAAAAAGUUUCUCUUAUGCUUUCUUCCCUCAAAUACCAAAUCUUUCUUUCUCUCUUUUUUUCCUUCCCCCCCCCCCCCCACAAGGCAUGAUUCAUGUGACACUUGGUAUUCUUUUUCAUGUCUUAGUCAAUCUACUAGCUAAUCGGUUUAUUAAAUGUCCAUGUGCAUUACAAAAAACAAAUCUUAUUUAGUCAAUAGCUCAUAAAUAUUCACAAAUCGUACGACUUUAAUCAUAUAAUAUUUAGCUAAUUGUAUAGAUUAGCAAAUUUUAUUGAUCUAGCACAUUGUCCAAAUCUUUCACCAAGAAAAAACAAGGAUUAUUACCUUAAACCCACUUGUCAAAGAGAUAAUCUUUUCUUAGAGUGGAAAAAUCAUCCCUAACGUGUACUUGCGUUCCAUAGUUGAAAUGGAAGGAUUUACAUUGUUUUAUGUAUGUAUGUCAAACUUUGAUUAGCCAAUUUGGUCGAAACUCCAAAGGUGCGAUCAUUGUUUUAUGCGUAUACGUACAUCCAUCACACACAUAUAUGCAUGUGGGAAAUUGUUGUCAUGGCCAAAGGAAAAAAAAAAAAGUUGGAACGUGGAAGCUGUGUGAUAAAUUGUCACAUCAUCUCAAAGUAUCGAUACAACGUAAAUGGAUAAACAAAAAUUUAGAAACCGAGUUCGUAAAUACGAGAAAAAUCUUGCAAGCGCACAACUUUGCAUGAAAACAAAGGAAUUCACUCUCUAAAUGUAUUAUAAUUAAGGAUGAAAAAGCUUUUUGUUCUCCAGACAAGAAAUUUAUUCAUGAUAGAGAAAGUUGUAACCUUAAAAGGAUAAAAUAUCUAAUUCAUAUCUUUACCAAAAAAUAUAUAUAUAUAUAUCUAAUUCAUAUUGCAAAAUAGCAGCAAGUUGAAAUUUUUAUAUUAACCACCGGGGUUUGCCUCAAUAGCCACCCUUCUCACCUGAGAAGAGAGAUGUGGAGGGUUCAAAUCCUCAUUUUCUUGAAUAGGUUGGGCUGGGGACAAUUAACUUCAUGUAUAUAUUUUGACUCUCACGUCUUAUUAAGAGAUAUGAGAAAAGUAUGAGAGUGAGUUGAAAGUUAAAGUAGGACUAAUCGAAAAAAAUCUCUAUUUUGAAAAAAUGGAUGUCCUAAACUAACUAGCCAGUACUAAUUCUAAAAUCUUAUCUUCUUAAACACUCACAUGUAAGUCUUCAUCGAAUCUCAAUAUGUAUUCUUACAAAUUCGUGCGUUAUACAUAGCAUGAACUUUCAUGCUUGUCCCAAGCCUAAUGUGAGGUUAUAUAUUUACUUCUUAAUGAACAUAUCAUACCAAUUGACAAUAUUUCUACAAAAUCAUCCUUGGAAAAAUGGAGGUUACUCCAAUUAAUAGUCAACUUUCAUGUUGUAGUCAUACUCACAUGUUAUAUCUCGUCCCCAUUGCGAGGAGAUGUCUUCACUCCAUCACUCAAGCAAUCACAAGAAUUGACGAUACUUCUACAAAUUCGUCCUUUGGGAAAGGGGAGGUAAUUCUUUGCCACUGCGAAGAUUUUAAGAAAAGGAGCUAGCUUGGCAAAUGAACUCUCUUUCGGUGAAACAUGAAAAGAACACGAUAUAACAGUCAAAAUAAUAAUAAUCAUACGUAAUUCAGUUUGCAUCCUCGACUUUUGAAUUAUAGAUCUUGUACCCUGAGAUAAAAACGUAAGCAAUCAGGGGGUCUAAACAGCUAUGUAAAAUAGACAAGGCAAAGUUUGGGUUUUUUUUUCUUUUUUUAUGAGAAAAAAAUGUGCACAGUGCAGUAAUUUUGAUAUUAUUGAAAUAACUGGACGAAUACAAAUUAAUGGGAAAAUUAAGUAUCACUUUCGUAAUUCUAAGAUACUCUAUGGUACGAAUGAAUGAUAGAUUGAACAAUAAACGGAAAGAAUUUUACGCUUGGUGCAAGCAGCAAGAAAUUUAAGGUGAGUGCAAGAAAGAAAAUGGAACUAGAAAAUGGUUGAAAAUAAGCGUGACUCGGAUAUCAUACUAAAUGAUCCAGCUUAGAAAUCAGAAGGUUUAAUCAAGUGGUAAGCUUGUUCGUCCUUUUUUAUUCAGGACUUGAAUUUGAAUCGCUAUGUUUGCACAUUCUUCCAGGACCACUCCAAAGAACAUAGACCAACGUGUCUCGAAUAAUUACACACCCAAAAUAGGUGGUAUAAGAGGACUGUCACGCAUGGUAAGAAUAAGUUAGAUGUUCAAAACAUUCUGGACAUCCCAUUAAGUUCUGAAAAUAAUAAAGCACCAACAAUUAAAUGGUCGACAAGGCGAUGCAAAUUUUAACUAUCGUAAAAUAAAGAUUAAAUAGCGAAGUGAAUUACCACCCUAACAUAAAAAGGAUGAAUUCAUAAAAAAAAUUUCCUCCUCCGGCAAGAUCCUAAAUCUUCUCCGUUGGGAUGAUCCAAAGGAAUGGGGCAGAGUCGAUGUGGCCUUCCUUUGGGCUCAAGAUUCGAAAUUCAAGAAACUUAACUUUACUUAGGAAAAAAAAUCAAAUCGAUAUAGCCUCCAUCGUUUCGCAAAAAAAAAAAAAAAAUCAUUUUUCAAUAAAUAAUAGUAUUUUUUGGUAUUUGGCUGAAAUCUUAAAUGAAUUGGAAUAUAUUUUCCGUCGUUUGGUAGGAUAAUUAGAUUUUGAAGGAAAAUAUUACCCAAAAAAUCGAAUUUUUAAUUAUUUUUUCUCUCUUUUUUUUCCUUCUUCCUUGGCAAGUGGCCGACCAUGAUGAUGGCCACUAGCCACAAGCAAGAGACAAGCUCACUAGCCUUGGGUAAGCUUGUCCCUCAAUGAAGAAGGAAAAGGAAAAGAAAAAACAAAAAAAAAAAGAGAGCAAAAAAAUAAUUAAAAACAUGAUUUUUUAAAAAUAUUUUUAUAAGAAUGAAUAAUUCAUUAAUCAAGAACUCAAGCCCGAGCAGUGAGGACCCGCACAUGGCCUUUGUGGACCAGAGCUCGAGUAUGGAGGACUCGAGCAUCUCCCUUAUAGACUUAGGCAAAAGUGCCGAAGAAUCAAGCAUGGGCACUAGGGGUUUGGGCACAGCCUCAAUGGACCCGGGCAUGGGCCCAAGCCCAACCACCGGAGACCUAACGUUAGAGCUUUCAUGUCCAGGUAUAGAAUUUAUGGUCCAAACGCAAAUAUUUACUAGUUUUUCAAAGAGGGAAAUCAUUGUCCUAAAUUUAAGCACGGUUUUCCAUGGAUUAGGAGAAUGUUUUUUCUGAAAAUGUUUCCUGCAAAAGAAAGAAGGCCUUGAAAUUAGUUAAUCUUUCCACAAGUGGAAAUUAUAGCAUUCCUCGCAUAUCGAGUAAUAAUUGUCCUUGAACCAAAUAUAGUCCAGGCAUAGCAGAAAUCUAGAGGACGGACAUGUCUACUUUCAGAAUUAAUAACAUCAUGACUUUGUUUCGCUUUCAGUAUAUAGGAUUACGGAAAUCUAUCUUUAGAAAGAUAUGCGCCACCACUUGAACUAUUUUUAGGAUCACGUGGUAAGUAAUAGCACAUCAACAUAGUCGCAUGUAAGAUUUUCAAUUUUCAAUGCUUGACAACAUUAAGAACAACUCAAGCAAUCGCUUGUAAGCUGCACCUCACAUUUGACAGCGAAAUUGCAACGAUAAUCACGAUAUUAAGGUGCGGGCCAAAAGUUAUUGAAGAAUAUUACGAUUCAUGCAACAAAGAUUCUUGAUUAUAGGAUAUUUUCUUUUCUGGUCAAUUAGGCUAAAGCUCAAUAUGUGAAAAAUCACCCGAGGAACAAUCUAAAAUUCCCAAAAAGUCUCCAGAAUAUGUCUAAAAAUCGUGUGCAUCAAAUCAUCUACACUACAGAAAUAUAAUCUUUAUUCAAUUUUAAUCAAUUUGUAUUUCGAUGCUGUUUAUUGCGAUUAAAUUCAGGUAUCAACAUGAUGCGAUUACUCUAUGUAUUCUCAUGCGCAAUUGAAAUGGUCAAGUAAACACGCCCAAAGUCCACAUCUUGGACAGUAAUCUGCGGAGGGAUCAAAUCAAAGGAUGUACUACCUUACCCCAAACAAAUAAUUUUGCAAAAACCACGAGUGUCUUAUUACAAGCACAAUUACACAUGAAGACAAUAUACCAAAUCUCAUAUUCCCAAACACAACUAAACUUCACAUCACCCGAUCGACCAGCUUGAUUUAUUGGAUCAUCCCGAUACAUGGAAGUAUCAGAAAUCUCAAGCAUUAUAUAGCGAAACUUCAUAUACGAUAAUAGUCAUGCCAUGAUCCUUUCCUUCAUGCGCUUGCGAGGUGAGCAUCGAUAUCCUUGGUCAUAUCGAUGACCACGGCCAUGUACUUGUCGGGGCUAGGGUCACUCUCCUUGUACUUCUCGUACUCGAUGCUCAGCUUGGCCACACUGCCUUGCACUUUUGGGACGACUUUGCACCCCACCUUGUAGACCUUCCACGUGUCCAGGAUAUGGCCCUCGAUGCCGUGCAGGGUGAACGACAUGUUGUCAUCAUCGAACUCGACCUUCUCUUUGAACACUUCGGAUUUUCCUUCUAUAUAAUCGCACCAGCAAAAAUAUAAGGUUCGAGUUAGGCACGGCCGUCAAUUUAAUUUCAAUGACAACAUGGAAUAAAACUGAUAAUUAGACAGAUCAAAUUGAACCAAUUACCAACGGUGUAAUUCCAAGUCUUGAUAGCUCCAUGCUGAUCCCAGUCACCUUCAUGAACUUUGAUUCCUUGAAUGUUUUUGGAGGUGGCGGUGGGCAUUUUGUGGGUUUCACUCCUCCAAAUCUUGUAGAACUUGUCAGCUGGUGCUUUCAGUUCGACUUCAGCCACCAGUCUUCCCUGCAAAUUAGCCAUGUUGGCACAAAUAUUGAGACUUCAAAAUUCACCAAGUUCGUUAGAACACUGGCCUGCGUUGAGAAAAAAGUAGCGUUACUUGUUUCUUAUAUAGACUUUGGCGUUCAUUUUCGUCUCUACUUCAGGUCCCACACAUCAUGAUUCACAUGGUCCUUGAUAUGUUCAUCAAUUAUAUCUCCCUGUCAAAUUGUUAUUGGUUUAUAAAAUGUAUUUUGGACCAAUAAAAAGAUAUGACCGAGCGAUUACAGCUGUGGCCUGUCAAAUAAUUGAAGCAAUUCAAGACUUCUAUCUAUAUCGGUCAUCAGAAAUUAAAGGCCUAAUUCAUUCAUUUCUUAUUUUCUCAUAAUGAGUUCCAAUAUUCUAUGAAAGUUGCGAGUGGAAAUCAUCUUCUACUCUGAUUGAUCUGCCCAGGUAAACUUAAGAUUAUACCCGAUGCAUAAAAUAAUGAAAGAGGUAACUUACCUGGCCUACAGGUGGACUCUCAGGUGUAUUUGGUGAGUUAUAAGAUGCCUUCAUCAUUUCUCUAUAUUAUUAUGAUGAUGCGCAUGAGAGGGUGUUAAAGCCAAAAAAAGGUUUUAUAUUUGACAUAUAAUUCAUUAGUUUUAAUUUUUUAAGUGGAGAUGAGCCUAACUAGAUAAUAGAUGUAUUGAUAGGCGUAGAUUUGGGGUCUCUCUUGAUACAGGUGAAGAUAUCAGAGUUAUGUUGCACAUCUCAAUGAGUGUUUUCUCAAAAUAAGAAUUUACAAUGUGACUCUUUGAUCGUGGUGGUAGAUGGUAUCCCUUGCUUCUUGCCAAGUUUAAUUGGGCAAAAGCGAUUGAGGUAAAGUCAGAAGGACAAACGUUAUUCACGCAAAUUUGGCAAGGCCAAGGUAGAGAUUCGAGUUAAGAAUAUUGGUACAGAAGGACCUUUGAAUUAAGGAGGAGCUAGCCUAAGGAAGAGACUCAUGCUUGGAGGGAGAUUUGUUUAAGUGGAUGUGUGAAGGUAUUAGGUGAAAAAAGUCUCACUUCAGUUGAUAAGGUGUAAGAUGGAGCAAUUUAUUUGGCUCAAUAAAUAAUUGGUUUAAGCUUUUGAAGGUGCAGAUGAGUCUAACUAGAUAAAUUGAUAGGCUCAGAAUUGGGCUCUCUCAAGAUGUGGUGUAAAGUGAGCAAUUAAUUUAGCCGACUAACUCAUUGGUUCAAGUUUUCGGAGUGGAGAUUGAUAAUGCUAGUACGAGUACCUAGAGGGGGGGUGAAUAGGUUUAUAAAAUUUCUUGAAGAUUGCACAAUACUUAGACAGAUGAAUGAUUAAAGAAUCAAUCGUAAGACUGAGUAAAGGAAAGAGAGAAUUAAACACGAGGUUUAUAGUGGUUCGGCUUGAUUCAAGCAUACGUCCACUCUUCUGCACUGACAGCCGAUUGGCUGGAUUCCACUAUGAACAAAGAGAUGUUACAGUGUUGAUCUUCCUUGAUUUCUCGAUGUAGAUGAUCUACUACACUCGCUCAAGGUAUCACCAAGUAUAAACACUCUCUGUGUGUACAAUUUCGCUCGAACUGUAUCGACUAACAAUCAAGGUUCUUCAGACUCUGGAAUUUUUCUAUCGAUCACACACUUAAAACAACUACAACGUCUUCCUUUUAUACUCCUUUAUGUCAUCAUAGCCGUUGGCACUUACCAAAGGAAUUCCUCCAACCUACCCGUUGGUCGGAAUCAAUUAAGAAGAUCAUCCGAGCUAUUUAAGGAAUCUGAUGAUAGCCCAUCAAUCAUGUUCGCCCAUACAAUCAGGAUUUUGGUUUCCAAGAAUAGAACAUUCCAAGAAUGUUUCGUCGACCAUCGGAUCUUCUAUUGUUCUUAAAUGAGAAUCAAAAAAUCCGUAGUGAUUAUCCAACCAAGGGAUCUUUUCCAGAGGAUUGGAUCGAAUCCCCAACCAUAUACUUCGGCUUCGGAUAUCCUUCGCCACUGGAUUAAGAAGACUGUCGGUGAGAAUAAUCUUGAGUCUUGAGUCUUGAGUCUUGAGUCUUGAGAUUACAAAGUCUUGAGACUUUAACUAUCGAUAUCCAGACUAGACUGAUAGAAAGCAAUUAAUUUAGCCGACUAACUCAUUGGUUCAAGUUUUCGGAGUGGAGAUAAGUCUAAUUAGAAGUAUUGAUGGGUUUGGAGUUGGACUCUCUCUUCUCCAUCUCCCCAAGUGAAGGUAUUAAGCUGCUUCUUUUACACUCCUAACAAUUGUUACACAUUAAUAUACUAAAUAUACUAAGAUCAGUCUAUAAAGUUUUGUACACUAAGCGACAAGACGGAGUGUAAGUAAACAUAUAAUCAAGUUGAUCAUUGUCCAGACCCAAUAAAAAGCCUGUCAUGUCGUAUAGUAUACAAUUUUGUGUUAUUGUCUCAAUAUACUUAGCCACAAAAAAGUCGACCAUUGAUGCUUGACCGACCAUUUCAAGAAAAAAUUUCAACACAAGACUUAAUGGAGAGACCGUAUACUCCAAAUUGACCAUAAGAGGCCAUUCUACCCUCCACGCACAAUUGCCAAAAACACUGGUGGAUGGAUGCUUGCUUUAGUUGACCAACAUUUCCCGGAUAUAAGAGUUAACCAACAAUUGUAGCAAACUAGUUGAAGAUUGUUUGGUAGGCACUUGCAACCUUACCCUCUUGAUGAAGGAUCUGUGGUUCACAAUCUCCAUUACGGACGCGGUGCUCAUGUUUUUUGGCAUCCAUUUUGUUAUGUUUUGCUAUGAGAGGACAGGACAACUGCAUUUAAUUACGGUCUUGGAGUGGUGUCUUAUGAUCGAGUACUUUUUCUAUAUAAUGUGGCUGUUGAUUGGUUUUCAAUCGCGGCAAAUUGCUUGAUCCAAAUUAGGGUUCGAAGAAUUUUGAUAAUGGCUUGAUCUGUCUGAAUUAUGGUUUAUAUGUAGGGCAAAACAUAAAGACCAUGUUGUUUAGGAGGCACACUAGCUAGCCGCGUCAACUUGGGAAAUUAAUAAAAUAUUGUCAUGUCAAAUUUCCAGCAUCCAAAAUUGAAAUUGUUACUCAAGUGAUUCGACGAAACACAAGUGUCAUAACUUUCGUGCUAAAGUGAUAUACCUUUUGUUUCAACCAUUUGAAUCGAAAUAAAAAAAGAUGGUGGACUUUAAAUAACCAUAUUUUGCUUUUUGAAACCCCAAUCAAUCUUCAAGACACCAAAAAAAAAAAAAAAAAAUUAAGGGCUAAUCAACGGCCUUAGUCUUACCUGCAAUGUAUUCCAAAUCUUAUAUAAUAUCUUAGCUGGCGAUUUCAGCUCCAAUUCGCCAUGCAAUGUCAUUUUGCGUUUUCGAAACGAAGAGUUAACUAAAGUUCAAAAUAUGAACGCUCAUGUGCAAACAAGUUAGCAUGGAUACACUUCAUAUGUAUAGAUGAUGAAGGCCCCCGAUUGCCAUUAUUUAUGUUUCUACAGGGCCGUGCAAGGCAUGAUUCAUGUGAUCCUUGGUAUUCGUUUUCAUGUUUUAGUCAACCUUCUAACUAAUCGGUUUAUUAAAUGAGCAUGCGCAUUGCCAAAAAAAAAAAAAUCUUAUUUAAUUAAUAGCUCGUCAAUUUUCACAAAUCGCACGACUUUAAUCAUAUACUAAUUUAGCCAAUUGUAUAGAUUCGCAAAUCUUAUGGAUCUAGCACAUUGUCCAUAUCUUUCGCCAAGAAAAAAUGAGUCCUACCCUAAACCCACCUGUCAAAGAGACAAUCUUUUCCUAGAGUGCUAAGAUCAUUCCUAUCGUGUGCUUGUGGUCCAUAGUUGAAAUGGGAUUUACAUUGUUUCAUUUAUGUAUGUCAAAAUGCGAUUAGCCGAUUUGGUCAAAACUCCAAAGGUGCGAUCAUUGUUUCGUGUCUAUAUGUACAUGCAUGACACACAUAUAUGCAUGUGUGAAAUUGUUGUCACCGCCAAAGAAAAAAAAGGCUAGAAUGUGAAGACUACGUGAUCAUUGUCAUAUCAUCUCAAAUUAUCUAUACAACAGAAAUGGAUGAACCGAAAUAUAGAAACUAAAGUCCGCAAAUACGAGAACAAUCUUGCGAACGCACAACUUUGCAUGAAAACAAAGGAAUUCUCUCUCUCUCUCUCUCUCUCUCUCUAAAUGUAUUCUGAUCAAUAAUGAAAAAGCUUUUUGUUCUCCUAACGAGAAACUUAUUUGUGAUAGAGAAAAAUGUAAUCUAAAAAUUAUAAAAAUAUCUAAUUCAUAUCACAAAAUAACAGCAAGUUCAAAAUAUAUAUAUCUUUAAAAAAGGAUUUCCUGAAUUAACUAAACUAAUAAUUCUAAAAGCUUAUCUUCUUGAACACUCAUGUAGGUCUUCAUCAAAUCAUAAUGUAUGUUCUUACAAAUUUGUGCAUUGUAAAUUGAAUGAAUUGUUUAUUGAAGACAGCAUUGCUCUUUAAUUGAUAUGAUGAAGAUAUCAUCGAAAUGAUAUAUUUGAUAUGAUUGCCCUUGAUUGAUUUAUUGGGAUAUUGUACAUGGAAAAUUGAUUUUUCCGACAAAAUCAUCCUUGAAAAAUGGAGGUACUCCAAUUAAUAGUCAACUUUCAUGUUGUAGUCAUACUCACAUGUUAUAACUCAACCCCAAUAAGAGGAGACGUCUGCACUCCAUCACUCAGGCUAUCACAAGAAUUGACAAUACUUCUACAAAUUCGCCCUCCGGGAAAAGGGAGGGACUUCCUUGCCACUGCGAGGAUUUUAAGAAAGGGAGCUAGCUUGGCAAAUGAACUCUCUUUCCGUGGAACAUGAAAAGAACACGAUAUAACCGUCGAAACAAUAAUAAUCAUCCAUAAUUCAGCUUGCAUCCUCGACUUUUGAAAUAUACAUCUAGUACCCUGAGAUAAAGACGUACGCAAUCAUGGGGGUCUAAACAGCUGUGUAAAAUAGACAAGGCAAAGUUUGGUUUUUUUAUGAGGAAAAAAAAAAACAAGGUACAAAGCACAUUAAUUUUGACAUUAUUGAAACUACUGGAUGAAAAAAAAUAAUAAUGGAAAAAUGAAGGAUCACUUUCGUAACGCUAAGAUACUAUAUGGCACGUAUGAAUGAUAGAUUGAACAAUGAACGGAAAGAAUUUUACGCUAGGCACAAACAGCAAGAAAUUCAAGGUGAGUGCAAGAAAGAAAAUGAACUAGGAAAUGGUUGAAAAUAAGCAUGACUCGGAUAUCAUACAUACUAAAUGAUCCAACAUAGAAAUCGGAAGGUUUAUUCAAAUGGUAAUCAUGUUCGUCCUUCUUACUCAGGACUUGAAUUUGAAUCGCUAUACUUGCACAUUCUUCUAGGACCACUCCAAAGAACAUAGACCAAUGUGUCUCGAAUAAUUACACACCCAAAAUUUGUGGUAUAAGAGGACCGUUGCGCAUGAUAAGAAUAAGUUAGAAGUUCAAAACAUUCCAGACAUCCCAUUGAAUUCUGAAAAUAAUGGAACCCUAACACUUAAAUGGUCAACAAGGCGAUGCAAAUUUUAUCUAUCGUAAAAUGAAGAUUAAAUAGCUAAGUGAAUUACCAACCUAACAAAAAAGGAUGAAUGCAUAAAACAUUUCCCUCCUUCGGCAAGAUCCUAAAUGUUCUUUUGUUGGGUGAUCCAAAAGAACGGGGUAGAGUCGAUGUGGCCUUCCUUCCGGCUCAAGAUUCGGCUUAGUCCUAGAAAAAAUAAAUUCAAGAAAUUUAACUUUACUUAAGAAAAAAAUUAAAUCAAUUUAGUAUGGGUUCGUUUCAUGGAAAAUGUGACGUUUUUAGAAAAUAUUUUUCAAAAAGUCAUUUUUUAAGAAAAUGAUAAUAUUCUCAGAUGUUCAGCUAAAAUCUGAAAUGAACUAAAAAAAAAUAUUUUUUACCGUUUGAUAGGAUAAUUAGAUUUUCAAGGGAAAAAUUACCAAAAAAAAUCAAUUUUUUUAAUUUUCUUUUCUUUUCCUUCUUUUUAUUUUUCCUUCUUCCUCAGCCAGUGACCAACCGCUAGGCGUCGGCCAUCAUUGCGGCCGACCACUACUCGAGGAAGAAGGAAAAAAGAAAAGAAAAACGAGAAAAAGACAAAAGAUAAAUAAUUAAAAACUUGAUUUGUUUAAAUAUUUUUAUAAGAACGAAUAAUCCAUUAGUCAAGGACUUGAGCUCAAGUAUCGAGGACUUGCAUAUGACCUUUGUGGACUAGAGCUCAAGCAUCGAGGAUCCGAGUAUGUCCUUCAUGGGCUCCAGCCUAGGUGCCGAAGAAUCGAACAUGGGCACCAGGGGUUUGGGCACAGCCUCAAUGACCCCGGUGUGAACCCAAGCCCUAUCACUAGAGACCUUAUGUUAGAACUUUUGUGCUCAAGCGUAGAAUUUUCAAUUUAAAUGCAGAUAUUCAGUCAUAUUUUGGAAAAUAUUUUUCAUUUUUUCAAAGGAGACAAUCAUUUUUUCUAAAUUUAAGUGUAGUUUUCCAUUGACUAGGAAAAUAUUUUCCCGAAAAAAUGUUCCCUGCAAAACAAACAGAGCCUUGGAAGUGGUUCAUCUUUUACGAGUGGAAAUUAUAGCAUCCCUUGCAAAUUGAGUAAUAACUGUCCUUGAACCAAAUAUAAUCUAAGCAUGGCAAAAUUCUAAAGGACAGGGACAUGUCUGCUUUCAGUAUUAAUAAGAUCAUGGCAAUUAGAUUUCGCUUUGAGGAAAUAGGGUUACGGAAAUCUAUCUCUAGAAAGAUAUGCGCCACCACUAAAACUAUCUUUUGGAUCACUUAUUUAACCGUGGUAAAGUCAUAGCAUAUCAUCAUAGUCGCAUGUAAGGUUUUCAAUUUUUAAUGCUUGACAACAUUUUGAACAACUCUAACAAUCGCCAAUAAGCUGCACCUCAUAUUCGACAGCGGAAUUUUUAACCAUAGUCACAAUAUUAAGGUGCAGGCGAAAAGUUAUUGAAGAAAAUUAGGAUUCAUGCUACAUAGAUUCUUGAUUAUAGGAUAUUUUCUUUUCUGGCCAGUUAAGCUAAAGCUCAAUACAUGAAAAAUCACGCGAGGAACAAUCUAAAAUUCCUAAGAAGUCACCUGAAAUACGUCUAAAAAUCGUGUGCAUCAAAUCAACUACUCUACAGAAAUAUAAUCUUUAUUCAAUCUUAAUUAAGUUGUGUUUCGAUGUUGUUUAUUGUGAUUAGGUAUUGUCACGGUGCGAUUUUAUAUUCUUAUGCGCAAUUGAAAUGGUCAAGUAAACGCGCCCACAGUCCAAAUCUUGAACGGUAAUCUGUGGAGGGAUCAAAUCAAAGAAUGUGCUAGCUUCCCCCAAACAAAUCAUUUUGCAAAAACCACAAGCGCGUUUUAUUACAAACACAAUACCACAUGAACACAAUACACGAAAUCUCAUAUUUCCAAACCCAACUAAACUUCAGAUCACCUGAUCAACCAGCUUGAUUUAUUGGAUCAUCGCCAUACGUGGAAGUAUCAGAAAUCUCAAGCAUUAUAUAGCGCUACUUCAUAUCCGAUAAUAGUCGUGACAUGAUCUUUUCCUUCAUGCGCUUGCAAUGUGAGCAUCGAUAUCCUUGGUCAUAUCGACGAGCACAGCCAUGUACUUGUCGGGGCUAGGGUCACUCUCCUUGUACUUCUCGUACUCCAUGCUCAGCUUGGCCACACUGCCUUGCCCCUUUGGGACGACUUUGCAAGCCGCUUUGAAGACCUUCCACGUGUCAAAGAUGUGGCCCUCGAUGCCAUGGAGGGUGAAUGACAUGUUGUCGUCAUCGAACUCGACCUUCUCUUUGAACACUUCGGAUUUUCCUUCUAUACAAUUACACCGGCAAAAAUAGAAGGGUUAAGUUAGAGACUGCUGUCAAUUUAAUUUAAGUGACAACAUGGAAUAAAAUUGAUAAUUAGAGAGAUCAGAUUGAACCAAUUACCAACGGUGUAAUUCCAAAUCUUGAUAGCUCCAUGUUGAUCCCAGUCACCUUCGUGAACUUUAAUUCCUUGAAUGUUUUUGGAGGUGGCGGUGGGCAUUUUGUGGGUUUCGCUCCUCCAAAUCUUGUAGAACUUGUCAGCUGGUGCUUUCAGUUCGACUUCAGCCUCCAGUUUUCCCUGCAAAUUAGCCAUGUUG